GAAAGGAGAGGAGAGACAAUAGGUGACACGACGAAGGGGAUGAAAAAGAAAGUCUCCAGAGGAGUUGCGGUUUCCAGGGAGGGAACGCCAGAAACCCCCUAGGGUUGGGAAGGCACUGUCCACUGGUUGGGGCCGAACAUCAGGGCACACUGCUCAGCCAUUCUCAACGCCAUCCCUACCCACCUGCUGCUUCUCCCCUCUUUGUUACCGAGGGACACCAGGCACAGUUGAAGGUGGAAACACCAUACUGGAAGCAGGAACAAAGAGAAAGAAAGAAAAUGAAUUAGAGGGCUACUCCAGGAUGUCCAACAUCUGAACAAGUUCCAGAAAG